AUUCCAGCUCCAAUAGCGUAUAUUAAUGUUGUUGCGGUUAAAAAGCUCGUAGUUGGAUCUCGGCAGGUAGGGGGCGGUUCGAUAUUUGUCGUUACUGCCCCAUUUACCUGUGUUUUUGACGGAGGUCGCUCGGUGCUCUUAAUCGAGUGUCGUGCGGCGCCGCCAGGUUUACUUUGAAAAAAUUAGAGUGCUCAAAGCAGGCUUGACACGCUUGAAUAUUCGUGCAUGGAAUAAUAGAAUAGGACGUCGUUUCUAUUUUGUUGGUUUUCGGAAAUCGACGUAAUGAUUAAUAGAGACAGUCGGGGGCAUUAGUAUUCAGACGACAGAGGUGAAAUUCUUGGACCGUCUGAAGACUAACUACUGCGAAAGCAUUUGCCAAGAAUGUUUUCAUUAAUCAAGAACGAAAGUUAGAGGUUCGAAGGCGAUCAGAUACCGCCCUAGUUCUAACCAUAAACGAUGCCAGCUAGCGAUCCGCAGGCGUUUUUUAUCUAGGCUCUGCGGGAAGCUUCCGGGAAACCAAAGCUUUUGGGUUCCGGGGGAAGUAUGGUUGCAAAGCUGAAACUUAAAGGAAUUGACGGAAGGGCACCACCAGGAGUGGAGCCUGCGGCUUAAUUUGACUCAACACGGGAAAUCUCACCAGGCCCGGACACUGGAAGGAUUGACAGAUUGAGAGCUC
rnacentral:rRNA from 1 species